rnacentral:rRNA from 1 species
UCUCAGUUCGGAUUGAAGGCUGAAAUUCGCCUUCAUGAAGCCGGAAUUGCUAGUAAUGGCAGGUCAGCAUACUGCCGUGAAUACGUUCCCGGGGCCUUGUACACACCGCCCGUCACACCAUGAGAGUUGGGGAUACCCGAAGCCUGUGAGCUAACUUAACGGAGGCAGCAGUCGAAGGUAGAAUCAAUGAUUGGGGUGAAGUCGUAACAAGGUAAC